GAUGAAGAACGCAGCGAAAUGCGAUACGUAAUGUGAAUUGCAGAAUUCAGUGAAUCAUCGAGUCUUUGAACGCACAUUGCGCCCCCUGGUAUUCCGGGGGGCAUGCCUGUCCGAGCGUCAUUGCUGCCCUCAAGCACGGCUUGUGUGUUGGGCCUCCGUCCUCCUCCCGGGGGACGGGCCCGAAAGGCAGCGGCGGCACCGCGUCCGGGCCUCGAGCGUAUGGGGCUUCGUCACCCGCUCUUGUAGGCCCGGCCGGCGCUUGCCGACACAUCAAUCUUUUUUCCAGGUUGACCUCGGAUCAGGUAGGGAUACCCGCUGAACUUAAGCAUAUCAAUAAGCGGAGGA
rnacentral:misc_RNA from 1 species